rnacentral:rRNA from 1 species
UGAAACGACUGCUAAGACUGGAUAGGAGAUAAGAAGGCAUCUUUUUAUUUUUAAAAGACCUAGCAAUAGGUAUGCUUAGGGAAGAGCUUGCGUCACAUUAGUUAGUUGGUGGGGUAAUGGCCUACCAAGACGAUGAUGUGUAGCCGGGCUGAGAGGUCGAACGGCCACAUUGGGACUGAGACACGGCCCAAACUCCUACGGGAGGCAGCAGUAAGGAAUUUUCGGCAAUGGAGGAAACUCUGACCGAGCAAUGCCGCGUGAACGAUGAAGUAUUUCGGUACGUAAAGUUCUUUUAUUAGGGAAGAAAAGAUGGUGGAAAAACCAUUAUGACGGUACCUAAUGAAUAAGCCCCGGCUAACUAUGUGCCAGCAGCCGCGGUAAUACAUAGGGGGCAAGCGUUAUCCGGAAUUAUUGGGCGUAAAGGGUGCGUAGGCGGUUAAAUAAGUUUAUGGUCUAAGUGCAACGCUCAACGUUGUGAUGCUAUAAAAACUGUUUAGCUAGAGUUGGAUAGAGGCAAGUGGAAUUCCGUGUGUAGUGGUAAAAUGCGUAAAUAUACGGAGGAACACCAGAAGCGAAGGCGGCUUGCUGGGUCUUAACUGACGCUGAGGCACGAAAGCGUGGGGAGCAAACAGGAUUAGAUACCCUGGUAGUCCACGCCCUAAACGAUGAGUACUAAACGUUGGAUAAAACCAGUGUUGAAGUUAACACAUUAAGUACUCCGCCUGAGUAGUACGUACGCAAGUAUGAAACUUAAAGGAAUUGACGGGACUCCGCACAAGCGGUGGAUCAUGUUGUUUAAUUCGAAGGUACCCGAAAAACCUCACCAGGUCUUGACAUGCUUUUGCAAAGCUGUAGAAAUACAGUGGAGGUUAUCAGAAGCACAGGUGGUGCAUGGUUGUCGUCAGCUCGUGUCGUGAGAUGUUGGGUUAAGUCCCGCAACGAGCGCAACCCUUGUUGUUAAUUGCCAUCAUUAAGUUGGGGACUUUAGCAAGACUGCCAAUGAUAAAUUGGAGGAAGGUGGGGACGACGUCAAAUCAUCAUGCCCCUUAUGACCUGGGCUACAAACGUGAUACAAUGGCUGUUACAAAGGGUAGCUAAAGCGUAAGCUUCUGGCGAAUCUCAAAAAAGCAGUCUCAGUUCGGAUUGAAGUCUGCAACUCGACUUCAUGAAGUUGGAAUCGCUAGUAAUCGCGAAUCAGCAUGUCGCGGUGAAUACGUUCUCGGGGUUUGUACACACCGCCCGUCAAU